AGCUUUGUGCAAUGGCAGUAUCAUAGCCAAUGAGGUUUAUCCGAGGCGCGAUUAUUGCUAAUUGUAAACUUUAUUUUUUUUAACUUUUUGAGACAGGAUCUCACUAUGUAGUUCAGGCUAACCUUGAACUCACUACUGGUAUGUAGCCCAGGCUGGCCUUGAACUUGAAGGAAUCCUGCCGCCUCAGCCUCCCAAGUGCCAGG
rnacentral:snRNA from 14 species